rnacentral:rRNA from 1 species
UCCGGGGGGGGCAAGCGUUGUUCGGAAUUACUGGGCGUGAAGGGCUCGUAGGCGGCCAACUAAGUCGGAUGUGAAAUCCCCAAGCUUAACUUGGGAACUGCAUCCGAUACUGGAUGGCUUGGAUCCGGGAGAGGGAUGCAGAAUUCCAGGUGUAGCGGUGAAAUGCGUAGAUAUCUGGAGGAAUACCGGUGGCGAAGGCGGCAUCCUGGACCGGCAUUGACGCUGAGGAGCGAAAGCUAGGGGAGCAAACGGG